rnacentral:tRNA from 1 species
GGGGCCGGAAACGGUUCACCUGGACGGUAAAGCCGCAUGCGGAGACGUCCGGGGAGGGGUUCGACUCCCCUCGGCUCCA